AUUGAACGCUGGCGGCAGGCCUAACACAUGCAAGUCGAGCGGAUGACGGGAGCUUGCUCCUUGAUUCAGCGGCGGACGGGUGAGUAAUGCCUAGGAAUCUGCCUGGUAGAGGGGGACAACGUGUCGAAAGGAACGCUAAUACCGCAUACGUCCUACGGGAGAAAGCAGGGGACCUUCGGGCCUUGCGCUAUCAGAUGAGCCUAGGUCGGAUUAGCUAGUUGGUGGGGUAAUGGCUCACCAAGGCGACGAUCCGUAACUGGUCUGAGAGGAUGAUCAGUCACACUGGAACUGAGACACGGUCCAGACUCCUACGGGAGGCAGCAGUGGGGAAUAUUGGACAAUGGGCGAAAGCCUGAUCCAGCCAUGCCGCGUGUGUGAAGAAGGUCUUCGGAUUGUAAAGCACUUUAAGUUGGGAGGAAGGGCAGUAAGCUAAUACCUUGCUGUUUUGACGUUACCGACAGAAUAAGCACCGGCUAACUCUGUGCCAGCAGCCGCCGUAA
rnacentral:rRNA from 1 species